CCCGCAUCCCCUCCCAUCCCGCGGGGGCGGGGGGUGCCCGGUAUAUACGGCCCCGCCGCCCCCGCCCCUCCUGCCUCCUGCAGCAGGGGAGGCCGCCGCUCGCCGCCGAGCCGCGCCCGGCCCCGCAGGUGGGCGAGCCGCAGCGGGGCCCCCCUACGCCGCGGGGUGCGGACCUGUUGCGGGCGGCUCCGCUUCUCCCCCCCAGCAGCACCGGGUCCGGUCCCAAGAUGGCAGCCGCUGCCUGGCCCCCUCCUGCGUUUUACUGCAACGUACACGAGAUGACUUUGUUCUUUGGGUGACUACUGCUAGACAGACGCAUCCUGUUGUGAUAAAGGAGACCAGCUGGAUUUAGGACUGCGGCGUCGUGUUUGCGGUACGGCUGACCAUAUGUGAUUUUCUGUCACGUCUGCAGCUUUAACGGGCUCGCAGCACCAGCCGGCACGGGAGAGUGCAGCGCUUGCUCUGCCACUUACUCAGCUGCUGAGGAAAUUGGGCACCAUUGGAAAUGGAUGAAGAUGGAGCAUAGAGGACGCAGGGCCCUGCCAGGUGCCGUGCAGCAGCUGGUGUUGUGAAUCAGGCCGUCACCAGUUGGAGAACGGCUACUUCACAACACCAGGGUGGCACUGCACCACACUUCAUCGCCAGCCAGAGGAGCAGUGAGGGUCCCAGAUGGGCACAGCCACAGGAGCCCAGACCUGCUAAGGUAAAUCAUGUGCUCUACUCCUAUUUAGGUAACCAGCCUCCCGUGGAAGUCUGGAAUAGGCCCUCUAAACAUCUCUGUGGGUCCAAUCCUUAGGCUUCUGUGUGCUGUGUGAAUGGGGAAGAGGUAUGGAAGGCAGUGGGGUGAGCAGUCUCUGUAUGCCAGGCACAUCUCCCAGCAGAGAUGGUUGAAGCCAUUAUUAUAAACUACCUCAGUCUCAUCCUGAAUAUGUGAUGCAGGCAGAAAGAUAGAUGGAGGGGAGAGUCGGAGAGUCAGAAUACACACGAGAUCAGAAAUAACAUGGGACAGUCUGGAAAUGCACGUGCACAGACACAUGUGGGUGGCUGCAUCACACAUCCUCAUCUUCCCCUUCAGUAAAGCUUCCUACAGAAGCAACCCCGAGUUCUGUCCAUGGUGAAAAGCUCUCAGCCAACACCAUGAAGGGCAUGGGAGGAAUGAGUAUGACAUUGUCAACCUGACAUGUAAGAAGUCUGUUUUAUUAAACUUGUCUUCUGCUAACAGAAAAUGUG